rnacentral:lncRNA from 1 species
GGCAGUACUGACAGGCAGUCUAUACACUGUACUGACAGGCAGUACUGACAGGUAGUCUAUACACUGUACUGACAGGUAGUCUAAACACUGUACUGACAGGCAGUACUGACAGGUAGUCUAUACACUGUACUGACAGGCAGUACUGACAGGUAGUCUAUACACUGUACUGACAGGUAGUCUAAACACUGUACUGACAGGCAGUCUAUACACUGUACUGACAGGCAGUCUAUACACUGUACUGACAGGCAGUACUGACAGGCAGUCUAUACACUGUACUGGACAGGCAGUACUGACAGCAGUCUAUACACUGUACUGACAGGCAGUACUGGACAGGUAGUCUAUACACUGUACUGACAGGCAGUACU